rnacentral:rRNA from 1 species
GUGAAGGAGGAUCAGCAAGUCCUUGGAUAUCUACUUCAACACCUGUCCAAGGAAGUGCUCGUCACGGUGACUGCGAUCACCACGGCGCGCGAACUCUGGGUGGCGCUGGCGAGCAUGUUCUCGUCGCAGUCCCUCAGCCGCGUCAACAACAUUCGCACGGCGCUGAUCAACGCGCAGAAGGGCAACCAAUCGGUGUCCUCCUUCUUCGCCGCCAUGAGAGGGCUCGCUGAUGAACUCGCCGCAGCGGGGAAACCAAUCCAAGACGACGAGCUCAUAUCCUACAUCAUCCAC